rnacentral:pre_miRNA from 1 species
AGAAGAAUAGCUGGGUCAAAUGGUGAUUCUAUUCCAACUUUGCAGAGGAAUCUCCAUACAGCUUUCCAGGGUGGUUGCACCAAUUUGCAGUCCCACCAGCAAU